UACAAGGUGUUUUAAGUAAUGUUGUUAAGUGUAAUAAUUAAUUAGUGUGCUUUAAGUAAUGUAGUGAAGUGUAAUAAUUAAUUAGUGUGACACAGAAUUAAUGAAGGCUGUUAUAAUAAGUUGCAGACUAAGGAGGAAGCGACAGGUUCAGGUUCCGUAUUCAUCAGGUGGGACUGAGGAAAAUUACGAAAGACCCGUACGCACCGUUCACAUGAUUACGGGUGUCGGAUCGAAGUAAGACCUCCUAACGGCAUUAUGCUACGGUCCUCGAGUUUGCACCUGAACUUGGUUCUGUCAGCCACCGUUAAUGGUCCCCUUAAGUAAAGAGUGAGGUGUAGAGCAGAUGAUCAAAGAGACUCAGCUUCCUGCUGCAACUAUCUCCAUCACAAACAAGCCACGAUACAUACACUUGGUGGUCUUCCGUCGUCUCCCAUGUCUCAUGGUAACGGAGGCGCCAGUCUGCUAACAAAGGCACUUGCUGUCUGUCGCUCGUUACCUAAAACUCGCUUCUCUUCCUCAUCAGAAACUGGACUAACGUUUUAACUUGUGUUAAUUUGAAGGAUUUAUAUCAUUCUUACACGCGAUUAUUGUUUCAUGUCUGAUCCAGUUAUUUAUAUUUGAGAAGUUUGGAAAUCUUAUUUCCUUAUAGAGCUCAGUAGUUGGUUUUGAGACUAAAAAUUAUUCCUCCUUCAUUACAUAUACCAGUUCACUAUGAUGUCUGUAUGGCGUCUAGUUUUUUCUAGAGUUUUAUUCUGAAAUAUUUCUAUAUUGCACAUAUAUUUUUUUUUUAAAUUUCGCGGUGAAUUAUAGAUGUUACGUCGACAGACGGUACUCAGAUAAACAAAUGCACAACAUCUUUCAUGAACGUUUACAGACUCUUGUUUGUUGUUUGUUGUUAUAUUUAUAUUUGUGUCUCAACUGUUAAACAUGUAGCGUAAACAAACUGUAUGUAGGGCUUCUUGUACUUUCGUUUAUAUUUUAUAAUCAUGUAAGGAAGAAGUGUACUUUUCUUAUUCAAAUUAACGUGCUGCAGAACACUUCCAAACAAAUCCAAAUAUAAAUAUAUGGCGAAAAAUUAAUCGCAUGGCCUAAAUACUUACAUCAUUCUUCAGUAUAAAUGUCACCAAUAUUAUAUCCUAACUGCAGGUGUCUGUACACUGAAUAUGAUCUAAGAGUAUGUACACAAUAAAGAACGUUGUUUAUGGAA